GAUAAUACCAAACGACACAGUAAAAAUGCAAACAAAGAACUGAUCUUCGCUAUACUGUUUGGGGAAAAGAAAUAAAAAAUUAGACAGCCGCAACACACGCCACUAAAGCCACCACCGCCGGCAUAACGCGGAACCAACAGUUGGCAACAUUCAUUCGCGCUUCAUUGUCCGCUUCGUCUCCGCAACGAGAGCCGCCAUCCUUUCGCGCCGGCCGUAUUGUCAUAGUUUUGUUUUUCUGCAAGUCCGCGCACGCAGCUCAUCGGUAGAUGCACGGGUGCACGGCGUCGCAUUGCGACCUGCGGCAUUUUCUCGUGUUCGCGCAAUCGGUGUGAAACAUGUCGCAUGUGAAAUAUUUGAUAGAAGUGCCUCACGUCCAAGUCAAGCCGCCGUACGGGUGUAAGCCUGUGUGCCCCGUUCUCGGAAGCGUCGACGGGUUUCCGGCAUGCGGAUUUCAGCGUUUGGACUCGACUUUUGGUGAGGAUGUCGAUCGACCUUGGGCCUGGUGACAGCACACCCGACAUGGCCAAAGUGCAGCCUAUCAGUUGAGUGCCCCCGAAUGGACCAUCAACAUCGGAAAAUGAAACAGAGCCAGGGGGAAAAGGUUCCGGUAACACCAUGCAUUCAGUAUGGUGGCCCAGACGUGUAUGCAAGCAAUCUCCUUCAUGUGGACCAAGAACUACUCUGCAGUGUCUCGCAGACUUCCGUGCGAAGUCCUCAACAUUCUCGUCUCAGUGGAAUGGCUGCUCAUCUAUCUGCGUGUCCAUCACCAAGACGGCCAGUUGUAAAGCUCCUGUACCCGUUUAAGAAAGCUUAAUGAUUUUUUAAUUUAGUUUUCACGGUUGGCCGUAGAAUCUUAACAUUUUUUAUGUUUAUAACAUUUUUACCUGGCACAAAGUGGUGCAAUAACUUUAAACCAGUGUAAUGUAUUUAAGUGAUGCUCGCUCUAAUGCCUAUCUGGUUUUGUUAGUGUUUAAGAAAUUUGUAUGUCUGAUGAGGUAAGAGCAUUUGAAUUUGUCAUCAUGGCUCGUUUCAAUGAGCUGCUAGGAAAAAAGUCGCAAAACUUAUCACACGCCAGUUGUAGCAUUUUUGUUUUCAUGAUUAUAGUAUACACGUUUCAAAAGAUGGAAAGUGGGCAAGAAAACCUGAAGAACAUAAUCAUUCUAGGAUUGUCAUGUCCUUACAACUCUGCAAUGAUAAUGCCUCAUACAUCUUGGGAACACAUUGGUCACAAUGCCUACAGGUAUACUUGAUAAGAGAAUAGCUUGCACCCAGAUUUGCCACACAGUUGAUGGCUAAUGGCUUUUGUUUGUCGUCUUCGUGUUACUACUAUGUAUUCAAUAUUCAUUUAGAUGUAAAGGACACUAGAGGCACUGAAGUACCAAAUGGCACUUGCAUUUCAGGGGACAAAGUGCCCAGCAUGCCUGUCACAAAACGUGUUCUAGGGGCUAGCUUGCCUCUAUAGGUAAAUGGAUACCAGAUGCUCUGUGCACAGUGUAAUCGGUGUACUUGUCUGGAGUGCUUGAAAGAUGUGCUACGGGCUGUACUGGCACUGUCUGAAGAUAAUGCAUGGUUCUAGAAAGGCUGCAGCUGAGCAUCUGCCACCAUACUGAAGGAACUGUCCUAAUUUUGUUGAUGUUGAAAUGUAGGAGCUGCAAUGAAUAGUUGUGAAUGUGGCAGUGCUGCCAAACUAAAGCACAAAUUACACACCUCGACUCACACAAUGCACUCUGAAAGUUUUGCUACGUGGUAUCUGUGUUUGCUGCCUGACCUUAUGGCACCUUUACGAGCAAUCGCAGGUGAUUGCAGCUGCUGAGGCUUUAUCAACUGGCAAGUUGAAAAAAUAAUGCUGUGCCACCAGUGUGGCUGCACAUUCCGAGAUGCAAGCUAUCUUGAACCAGGUGUUCGGUAGACAGUACCUGUGCAGCCAAAACAUGGUGUUUGAGCCCUAUAGGCAACUACGUUCACAACUGCCCACAAGUGUGCUGUCGGAACAGAAAGUUGAGAACAAGCAGCAUUUUUACCGGGGUUCAAACAUUAGUGCAAGUCAUUCUUUCACCAAGGCUGGUAAUCAUGCAUAUGUAAUGAGAACAGGGCAUUUGUUACACACAAGGCGUCAUGUGUCAAGUUUAAUUAGAUCAGUAAUCUAUGAGAUGGAAUUAUAAAAAGUGUACCUUUCGUUCCUCAGUGGUCUCUUUGAGAGAUGACCAUUUCCGGCAAUUUAGUUUUGCCUUCUUAUGUCUAGAUUUGGUGUGCAUAUUGCAACUAUAACUAACAGUCAGUGCUCUGUCCUGCCCAGUUUUUAUGCUGCUUUUGUGAUAUUUGCAAUAUUUUGCAGUUCAGCUGCAAAAUAUUGUCUAUAGUAUUAUAUAUUGUCUAUGCAAGUAUAUGUCUUUACUAUUACUAGUUUUCAUGUUCAUUAGCGACUUACAUUAGCCAUGCUUCUUUGUCUCUGUUAGGAUGCGAAUUUCAGUAUCUUCAGAACACGUGUGUUAAUCUGAAGUAGUCUUUUUGUUGUUUCCUUUUUUACUUCCUUACUUCCUGAUAUGUUUAACUGAUGUCUUCAUACCUUGUCAUGUUCUUACGCUGCGGUUUUUUGCAGUCACCUAUGUAUAUAUAUAUGUUCUUCGUUUCAAUAAAAAUUUAGUUGAGAGUUAGCGCUCAUCCUGGUCUGCUUCUAGUCUGUGUACGUGUCACUUCGCGCUACAAUCCAAGAUCAUGUUACUGUACCAACUCGCCCAACUUUCUGUCCUUGCGUUGACAUAGACACACUCAGACUUGUUCUUACUUAUGUGACCGGUUAUUUUUGUACUUUAUAAGAUUCAGUGCUUUUCGGAUGAAAACAUGUGAUAAUUCGUAGUGAGAUUAUUUAAAAAAAACUUUUCUGCUUAAAAUUUAUUUGAACAAGCCUGUGCCAUUAUUCGGUGCUUGUCUUUGUAUUGGUAUGGUUUUACUCCUUAUCUUCCUUUUUACUUUUAAAAUGUGCAAACAUUAUUAUGUAAGCAUUUCUCUUUAAUGAAAUAAAUACUUUUCUUAUGACA